GACGAACGCUGGCGGCGUGCCUAAUACAUGCAAGUAGAACGCUGAAGAGAGGAGCUUGCUCUUCUUGGAUGAGUUGCGAACGGGUGAGUAACGCGUAGGUAACCUGCCUUGUAGCGGGGGAUAACUAUUGGAAACGAUAGCUAAUACCGCAUAACAAUGGAUGACUCAUGUCAUUUAUUUGAAAGGGGCAAAUGCUCCACUACAAGAUGGACCUGCGUUGUAUUAGCUAGUAGGUGAGGUAACGGCUCACCUAGGCGACGAUACAUAGCCGACCUGAGAGGGUGAUCGGCCACACUGGGACUGAGACACGGCCCAGACUCCUACGGGAGGCAGCAGUAGGGAAUCUUCGGCAAUGGGGGCAACCCUGACCGAGCAACGCCGCGUGAGUGAAGAAGGUUUUCGGAUCGUAAAGCUCUGUUGUAAGUCAAGAACGAGUGUGAGAGUGGAAAGUUCACACUG
rnacentral:rRNA from 1 species